GAAUGGUACUGUACUUACGUGGAAUGAACGUCAGCUGCUAUCCAAGCUUUGGUAGCAUUCCGAAAGCUUUAUCCGGGUCAUCGGAAGAAGGAUGUAGAUGAAUGCAUUGAGAAGGCCGUUAAGUUCAUUGAAUCAAGUCAAGCAACAGAUGGCUCAUGGUAUGGAUCAUGGGCAUUUUGCUUCACGUAUGGUGCAUGGUUUGGAGUGAAAGGGCUAGAAGCUGUUGGAAAAACAUUGAAAAACUCUCCAGCUGUUGCGAAAGCUUGUGAAUUUCUGUUGACGUCGAAACAACUUCCUUCAGGGGGAUGGGGAGAAAGCUAUCUUUCAUGUCAAGACAAGGUAUAUACAGGCAUUAAAGGCGACAACUCUCAUGUUGUGAAUACAUCAUGGGCUUUGCUCGCACUCAUUGGUGCUGGGCAGGCUGAGGUAGAUCAAGAACCACUACACAGGGCUGCAAGAUACUUGAUUUUAAUGCUCAAAUGGAGGAAGGCGAUUUCCCACAACAGGAAAUAAUGGGAGUAUUCAACCGGAACUGCAUGAUAACAUACGCUGCUUACAGGAACAUCUUUCCGAUAUGGGCGUUGGGGGAGUACCGCAGUAAGGUGCUACUACUGCAACAAGGAGAAUGAGAGUAGUAGUUAUUUAUCUAGGGGAAGAACUGUGUUAGCUUAAAUGGUUUCUUUAUCCAAUGCUCGUAUGUGUCUCUACUCUCGUGCUAAAAUGAACCCAGUUAUUGUGUAAUUCGACUCAGGUAAAAUGUCUUGUGAAAAUACUCUACCUCAACCUAGAAGUAGAAACCUAAAAAAAUGC